UUGAAAUCAAAGACCACACUUUUGCCAUGGAAUACCAAGUGAAAAAUAUCCAGACAAAUUAUGAAAAAAAGUUUCCGUACAUUCCGUAUGCAUGGAAGUUUAAAUACAUAAAUUAUCAAAGGUUUAGUCCAUGAACAUAGAAAACCCUUCCUGGGAUUACUGCUAUAGAUAGCAUAAGUUUAUGGUCUCUUGAAGAGAAAUAUUGGUAAUGACUCUCCAUGAGUUUAUCAAGUGGCUAAAUACUUUUUAUAGUAUUGUUCUAGUUUGAUUGUGUUAUGUUUUCCUAUAUAUUCCUUGCAAUAAUUCUGAUAAAAAUCUAUAAAAUGUAUCAAUAUUUUCACUUCAUAGGUGAGGAAAUAACAGCAUAAGAUUCCAAGAAAUGCACCUAAGAUAAAAUAAUUGCACAUGGAAGAACUAGGAUUCUAAUCUGAAGUUGGGGUUCUAAAAUUAAUAUCCUUAUCGCUACUGUUGGAUGGUGUUCAGCAUUUUGAAGGACAAUCUUAAAGCCUUCAUUUCAUAAUUAUAGUAAAGUAAAGGGACCGACAGACAUGAAAGUACCAAAAUCAUAAGAACUGAUGAAACAGUGACCAGAAUAAGACUGAUUUUUCAGGCCAUUCUCCAUUUAUACUUCGUGAAGAGAUGACAACAGAAAGAUACUUGAACACCUGGUCCUCAUUUGGUUGUGCUGUUUGGGGAAGGGAUGCAGCCUUGCUGGAGGAAGUGCAUUAUUGGGGCUGGAUUGAGAAUUUAUACCUUUGCCCUACUUCCAAUUUAUUCUUCCUGCUUCCACCUUACAGUCGAAGAUGUAAGUUCUCAGUUUCCUGCUCCUGCAGCCAUAUCUGCCACUUGUGUCUAUACCUACCAAUCAUAAUGGACUUAUAUCCU